rnacentral:rRNA from 1 species
CCUACGGGAGGCAGCAGUAGGGAAUCUUUCACAAUGGGCGAAAGCCUGAUGGAGCAACGCCGCGUGCAGGAUGAAGGCCUUCGGGUUGUAAACUGCUUUUAUAAGCGUGAAAUAUGAUGGUAACUUAUGAAUAAGGAUCGGCUAACUACGUGCCAGCAGCCGCGGUCAUACGUAGGAUCCGAGCAUUAUCCGGAGUGACUGGGUGUAAAGAGUUGCGUAGGUGGCAUAAUAAGUAGCUAGUGAAAUCUGGUGGCUCAACCAUUCAGACUAUUAGCUAAACUGUUAAGCUCGAGACCGUUAGGGGUAACUGGAAUUUCUAGUGUAGGAGUGAAAUCCGUAGAUAUUAGAAGGAACACCAAUAGCGUAGGCAGGUUGCUGGGACGGUUCUGACACUAAGGCACGAAAGCGUAGGGAGCAAACGGGAUUAGAUACCCGUGUAGUC